rnacentral:rRNA from 1 species
UUAAAUUGCUGUGGUAUUUUGACUAUACAAAGGUAUUGAAAUAAGAUUUUAAUUGAAGCUAAGAGAAUGGAAUUUUCAGAAAAAAACUUUUUUCAAGUUAAAAAUUGAAAUUUUUUUAAUUUGUGCAGAAACAAUUAUUAAUAUUAAGGACAAGAAGACCCUAUGAAUUUAUAAAUUUUAUUUAAUAUGUAACUACUAUUAAAAAAAUUUUAGCUGGGGCGGCGGAAAAAUAUUUAAAACUUUUUUAAAAUAAAAUGACCCAUUAUUAAUGAUUAUAUGUUAAAUACUCUAGGGAUAACAGCGUA